GUGGGGGGAGUGUCCAGACAGACUGCCAGCUACCGAAGCAAACUUUACCCAAGGUUGUAGAAAGAUAGCCCAGUGGAGACUGGAAACUUAUCGGGUCCCUACCCUCCUCCUGUCCUGCCACGACCGAGAGGCAGGACUAUGCCGAGCACAGACUGAUCCGUCCGUAGCACGAAACCGUCCAUGUAGACGACCAGAGCUAAUCAGUGAGCUUCCACGGCCUCCUAGCCGCCACUCUGACAUGCGGUCUGCACGUCCAACACCAGUGCCAGGACCAGACCAGAGCUGCCACAUCCCGGAGCACAGCUGCAACAUGACCAGGUCUCCCGAAUGUCCCAGGGCCUGAGUCUACCCAUGGGUGCUCCUCUGGUCACAUCUUGCCAGCAGGCGUCAUCCUCGUCCCCUCACCCGGCUGACACGAGCUCCCGGUAAUUUUUCCAUUGAUAGGGCAGUGGAAGGAGUGUAUGUAGAGGCCGCAGGCGAGGCCUCUCUGGGCCUGUGUCUUGUCCGGUUUCUUCUCUCCUGUGGGGUGACGAGGCUACGUGGAGUGAGCCACCACCUUAUAGCCCCUUUCUGUCACAGAAUUGUGAGGUCUUCAGGCUUUCUCGUCUUUGCAGGACACGUCCCGGAGAUGGCUAUGCACACGUGGAGUCUGGGAAUGAGCAUGCAUGCCAGGCCUUAUAGGCCUUUCGGGUUUUGCUUAAGGCAGAAGUGCUGGUUUCCUAAGAGGAGUGAUCUGCAUAAUUAGAUUCCCACGCCACGGGCCCAGGGUACAGCACAGCCGCGAGGCGUGUGUGUCGGAUACAAGCAUCUCUCUUCUUGAACGUUUUCCGUUUUUCCUCUUCUCUUCUUCUGCCAUUUCUUCUUCUUCUUCUUCUUCUUCUUCUUCUUCUUCUUCUUCUUCUUCUUCUCUCUCUCUCUCUCUCUCUCCCCUCUAUUUUUCUUUCCUCCCGUUCUUUCUUCCCCACACUUCUCUCGCUCUCUUUGAAACAUCGCCGCCGCUUGUAGCCUCAAUUAGUCACAGACUUGCUAUGUGGCCAAGGUCGUCCUUGAACUCCUGAUCUUCCAGCACAGGCAUGCACCACCAUGCCCAGCUGUGUCACUUAAAACCUGAUCUCUGGCUCCAAGUGUCAGUGAGUGAAAGGUAUCAGAACUGUGUUGUGACUCAGCCAGCUUCCCCGGGUGUGUCUUGCUCACUCACUAGACAAAUAUUUGUUCUUGGCACUUGUUAAAGUGUAGGUAUUGUUACACAUAUCCAAUUUUUCAAUUCCUAGUUUUUAAUUCUUCUGAUUAAAUUUAUUGGGUGAACUGAAA